GGGGCGCACCAGGCGCGAAAACUUUACAAUGCCGGCAACGGCGAUAAGGGAACCUCGAGUGCCAGGUUACAAAUCUGGCUGUCGUGAUGCCUAAAAAGCAUUGCAUAGCAAGGGCCGGGCAAGACCGGUGCCAGCCGCCGCGGUAACACCGGCGGCUCGAGUGGUAACCGUUAUUAUUGGGUCUAAAGGGUCUGUAGCCGGCCGGAUAAGUCUCUUGGGAAAUCUGGCAGCUUAACUGUCAGGCUUUCAGGAGAUACUGUCUGGCUCGAGGCCGGGAGAGGUGAGAGGUACUUCAGGGGUAGGGGUGAAAUCUUGUAAUCCUUGAAGGACCACCAGUGGCGAAGGCGUCUCACCAGAACGGACCUGACGGCAAGGGACGAAAGCUAGGGGCACGAACCGGAUUAGAUACCCGGGUAGUCCUAGCCGUAAACGAUACUCGCUAGGUGUCGGCCACGGUGCGACCGUGGUCGGUGCCGUAGGGAAGCCGUGAAGCGAGCCACCUGGGAAGUACGGCCGCAAGGCUGAAACUUAAAGGAAU
rnacentral:rRNA from 1 species